GCUGGGCGUGGUGGCGCACGCCUGUAAUCCCAGUUACUCAGGAGGCUGAGGCAGGAGAAUCGCUUGAACCCGGGAAGCAGAGUUUGCGGUGAGCUGAGAUUGCACCACUGUACUCUAGCCUGGGCAACAGAGUGAGACUCUGUCUCAA
rnacentral:SRP_RNA from 1 species